rnacentral:rRNA from 1 species
GAUCCUGGCUCAGGAUGAACGCUGGCGGCGUGCCUAACACAUUCAAGUCGAACGGAGCUGCGAGGGAGCUUGCUUUCGAACAGCUUAGUGGCGGACGGGUGAGUAAUGCAUGAGCAACCUGCCUUACAGAGAGGAAUAACACAGAGAAAUUUGUGCUAAUACCGCAUAUACCAUGGAUACGGCAUCGUGACUAUGGGAAAGGAGCAAUCCGCUGUAAGAUGGG